UCUGUGUUCAUAUUCAUUCAGAGCUCCGUCGCUCAGACCAUCACACCUCUCUGUGCUCUCUCUGCUCUCUGCUUUCUUCAUCUCCAGGUCUCCCAUCUGUCCCUGUCUCUACCAUCCUCAUCCUCACUCUGUCUCUCCAUGGGAGUCAUGUCCUCCCCCAGGUUCCUGUCACUUCAUCUGCUUGGAGCCUUGCUGCUGCCGCUGCUGCUGCUGCCUGGUUCUUGGGCCCAGCAUUAUGAUGAUUUCACAUCAUCUCCAGAUUACGACUCUGACUACAACUCCACCUUUGAGUACAGCUUCUUCAGUAAUACGAGCAGCGAGGACCUGGACAGACUUGUGGAACGCUACCUCGAUCCAGACGAAACUACGGAGGACACUGGAGGACCAGAGGAGGAAGUGGCUGUAACCAUGGUGAUUACAAGAAGAACAACAGAGGGGGUCAACGCUCACGGCACUGCACCAUUUCAGAGGCAGCCGAUGGAAGACAGCACACUGCUCAGUAGACCAUUCAACACUUUAUUACUUCUAGAAGGGAGAUGCGUCCUGCACAACACGUUGCUGCAGAUCUCAAAAUGCUGGUGUGCCCCUUUAUUACAGAAGCUCUCUCAUUCUAGUCUAAACAACAGUGUCGCAGUAACUUUCCACCAGAGAUGCUCCCCUCUUAUCUACUUUUUCCCAGGCGUGAGCGAGAGUCUGCAGCUCUCUACUCCCCAAGGACACACGGUCUCAUGCCUUUAUUUUCAGGGCUGUGUCCACUACUACACUAUAUAACUUUAUAACACUUAUUAAUAAAAAAGCAUAGAUUAUUGAGGCACUGAAAAAUUAUUUAUUCCCCACAGUUAUUUAACAUAUAAUCACAGUAAACUAGUAAUAACAAAACAACUAACAAGCUUCAUGGUCAAACUUUCUAACAAAAACAAUAAAUAUGUUGUCAAAUGUCACUUAUGACCCACUGAAGAUGAUGAUGAAGACUAUUUAACCGUUUAACAAGCUGAUGAUGUGUUUACUGUCUGCAGGAAAUCAGGACGCUGCUCUGGACUCUGGUGAUCCUGUUGGUCCUGCAGCAGCUGCAACACACACUCUGGUGACAGGUGUCGAGACAAGCCCCUCAGCUCCGUCCUCAGUGAACAUGGCUCCUCAUGGGAGCAGGUGGACCAAUCACAGAGCUUCUUUCCUGAACCAUUUCAGAAAGUUUGCAGACAAACGCCUGGAAGAUUUCACUACGUGGUGACAUUUUUAUUAUACGUAAAGAAGUUUUUUGAUGGAACUGCUGAAUAAGCCAUACUUUAGAAAAGAUGUUUAUAUUUGUAAUAAAAAGAUGUUUUUAAAGACAAUAUGAAGUUAUUUUGUGUCCUUAUUGUGCAAACAAACAACAUAAGUGUUUGUAGUUGAGUGCAAACAAGCACUGUGUUACAGAAUAAACAUGUUGAUGGACGGGGUCAGCGGGGGCCUGGAGCUUUCAUUUUUUCUCCAAAUCACAAGUGUUGUUGGCUGAACUGUGAAACGUCAGCUGAAAGAUUUCUAUUACAGCAGAACCGUCACUGUGCAAACGUUUGCAUCUGUUCAUAUUCAGGAUCCAGGAGCGGAUUUGGAUCCACAGUUUAAUCACAGAUUUAUUUGACUUGCGAUACAUUUUUGAUUGUGCUGUUUAUAGUUUUCCUCUAAAUCCUGUUUGUUUGCAUAAAAAAGACACAAAAGUGACAGAAUAAAAACACGAUUGUAUGAAUGAGCAUAUUUGCAGAUACAUUUAUAUAUAAACAAAUAAAGAUGAAGUAUUUAAAGUGGACCCCAGCAUCCUCCGUGGUUACAAUCAUCAGUUUGUCAGCGAC
ensembl:lncRNA